AAAAAAUCUGAACUGUUUUAGUAAGAAAAUGGUAUCCAAUGGAUGCAGCUGGAUUAAAGUGCUGCUUUCCAGGAGCUAAUUCUUUGCUGUGUCUUGUUCCUAUAGUUGUAAAAUAAUUUCUUUACAUAAUCGUUGUAACAACAGAAAAUCUUGUGGAGAAUCUUUUGCAUAAUUUCGAGUUUGAAGUUCAACUUCCUUAUCUAUUCUAUCGAAAUGCUGCCCAAGAAGUCAAUGGUAUUUGGUUCUACGAUUCACGUGAAUGUGAGGAAGUUGCAAAUCUCAUUACUAGGUAAAAAGGACAUGGUUCUUUGUCUCAUAUUUUGGCUAUUAUGGUUUACUUGUGCAUUUCCUGUGCUCAAAUUCUUUAAUAAGUAACCACUAUUAGAUACUACUGAUUUCUCCAGUUGAUUUUUAGAAAAAGAGUUAGCUUCAUAUUUGUAGAAUUAUAUAUUUACAGUGCUUUGCCCAGGUCUAUACACCCCGUUUAGAGAAGCUAAUACCAAAACUAUUGCCCUCUACCAGAGAAAAAUCUCAAGGAACUUAACAAACUAUUUAGAAAACUGAUAAAAAAUUAUUAUGAAUGAUCUCGGUACCUCAAACUUGAUUAUAAACAAGUCGAUGUAGUGUGAAUUGUCGGUUUUGGGUACUGUAGAUUCAGAAGUACUUAUUACCGAUCAUCUUCCUAACUGAAGCGUGAAUGAAUUUUAACUUUGUUAACCUAGAUCUUUAAGCAAAAUAAUGGUGACAGCAACAGUGGUUAAGUAUGAUUUUUAUCAUAGAUCCUAUCUUGAUACCAGAGAAAGGUUUCAGCAAUCAGGUUGAGAUAAUAACAAAAUGUGGCUUUUACAUUAAGCAGAAUAUCUGAUAGUGUAUUAUUAAGACAACUGCAUAUACUAUGAAUGUCCCUGUACACGUAUAUGUUUUCUAUAACAUUGUAGUAAUUCUACAUUUAGUUUUUGUCAGAAUGGAGGGCAAAAAACACAAUUUUAG
rnacentral:lncRNA from 1 species